GCUGUACUUGGGAUUGCUAUGGUAGUAAUGGCUGACGAAUUGGGUAUUGAAAUGGCUAUUCGCUCGUUAGAGCAUCUUUUGCAGUAUGGGUAGCAGAAUAUCAGAAGGGCAGUUCCUUUGGCUCUUGGUCUCCUCUGUAUAUCGAACCCUAAGGUCAAUGUUAUGGACACAUUAAGCAGACUUAGUCAUGACACUGAUACUGAAGUAGCAAUGGCUGCUGUCAUCUCCUUGGGGUUGAUUGGUGCCGGAACCAACAAUGCUAGAAUAGCUGGCAUGCUUCGCAACCUGUCAAGUUACUACUAUAAAGAAGCUAGCCUCCUUUUCUGUGUAAGCUUUUUCUUGUAGUU